CUUUCCUUUUGGUUACCCAGGAAGAAAUAUGAGACUCCAAUAAAGGCAUCAGAUUGCAAACAACCAUCAUCUAACUGCAAAGUAUGCCUCAAUACAAUACAAACAUCAUCUAACAGCCAAGUAUGUCCAAUCACCGACAACUGCACAAUCGUGUCUAUUCACACACAACCAACCACCAACUGAAUAGACAUGUCCGAAUCACGCACAU